UUAAAUGUGGGACUUUUCUUAUUUUAUUUUAUUUUAUUUUAUUUACUUUACAUUAUUUUAUUUUAUUUUAAUUUUACUUUAAGUUCUGGGAUACAUGUACAGAACGUGCAGCUAUAGUCCAUUAGGAGGCACAGAUUUCCAGCUGGUAAAAGAGCUCCUGCAUUCAGACAUAUUGGCCACAAGGAAAUUGAUAACAAGAGAAGGGGAGGAAAGGGACAAGAACAAGAUAAGAAAUGAAUGUGAAUUUAAGAAGCAUCCGUGUCUGGACUGAUUUGGAUUUCCCACAGAUGUUAAGUGCAUUAUUUCAUUCUUACAUGAAGAGUUGCAACACACAAAGUGACUCUGUUGAGAAGGAAUGCUUUUGGCUGCAAGGAACAAAAAACCUGGCAUAUGAAAAUAUCAAGUGGAGUUAAAUCUUGUCAUAUAACAAGAAAUAUGGAGAGGAGCA